AAGUCGUAACAAGGUUUCCGUAGGUGAACCUGCGGAAGGAUCAUUAACAAUUCUCCUUCAUUAAUCCCUGUGAACCGUUUCCGGUUGCGCGCCUGGUGGCGCCGUGGUCUCGCGGCCCGGCGUUGCUCGGGUUGUGCAACAAACAUUAACGUCUAUUCGUGUCAGCAUGGCUUAUAACAGCGUUCGUGGUGUGCUGUGCUGCUGCGCUUCGGCGCCGGGAGCACGUGCCUGCGGAUGUGUUACUAAUCUUAACAACUUUUAACAAUGGAUCUCUUGGCUCUU
rnacentral:misc_RNA from 1 species